rnacentral:rRNA from 1 species
AAGUUGGGGACUCUAGCGAGACUGCCAGUGAUAAACUGGAGGAAGGUGGGGAUGACGUCAAAUCAUCAUGCCCCUUAUGACCUGGGCUACAAACGUGAUACAAUGGCUGAAACAAAGGGCAGCGAAGCAGUGAUGUGGAGCGAAACCCAAAAAAGCAGUCUCAGUUCGGAUUGAAGUCUGCAACUCGACUUCAUGAAGUCGGAAUCGCUAGUAAUCGCGGAUCAGAACGCCGCGGUGAAUACGUUCUCGGGGUUU